GGUCUAGUAGUGUAAUGGUAGCACACCUGCACUCUAUGAGUCAGGAGGAACAUUUAACAGGAACUCCUUGUUCGACUCGAGGCUAGGCCA